UACAGAGGUCUCAAGCGUUGUUCGGAUUCAUUGGGCGUAAAGGGUGCGUAGGCGGCGCGGUAAGUCGGGUGUGAAAUCUCGGAGCUUAACUCCGAAACUGCAUUCGAUACUGCCGUGCUUGAGGACUGGAGAGGAGACUGGAAAUUUACGGUGUAGCGGUGAAAUGCGUAGAUAUCGUAAGGAAGACCAGUGGCGAAGGCGGGUCUCUGGACAGUUCCGUGACGCU
rnacentral:rRNA from 1 species